rnacentral:rRNA from 1 species
CCUACGGGAGGCAGCAGUGGGGAAUUUUGGACAAUGGGCGAAAGCCUGAUCCAGCAAUGCCGCGUGUGGGAAGAAGGCCUUCGGGUUGUAAACCACUUUUGUACGGAACGAAACGGCUCGCUUUAAUACAGUGGGCUAAUGACGGUACCGUAAGAAUAAGCACCGGCUAACUACGUGCCAGCAGCCGCGGUAAUACGUAGGGUGCGAGCGUUAAUCGGAAUUACUGGGCGUAAAGCGUGCGCAGGCGGUUAUAUAAGACAGUUGUGAAAUCCCCGGGCUCAACCUGGGAAUUGCAUCUGUGACUGUAUAGCUAGAGUACGGUAGAGGGGGAUGGAACUCCGCGUGUAGCAGUGAAAUGCGUAGAUAUGCGGAGGAACACCGAUGGCGAAGGCAAUCCCCUGGACCUGUACUGACGCUCAUGCACGAAAGCGUGGGGAGCAAACAGGAUUAGAUACCCUGGUAGUCCACGCCCUAAACGAUGUCAACUGGUUGUUGGGUGCAUUAGUACUCAGUAACGAAGCUAACGCGUGAAGUUGACCGCCUGGGGAGUACGGCCGCAAGGUUGAAACUCAAAGAUAGUAGCGNGNGAGNGCGACGAGACGACGACGAGGAGGAGG